UGGGGAAUAUUGCGCAAUGGGCGAAAGCCUGACGCAGCGACGCCGCGUGAGGGAUGAAGGUCUUCGGAUCGUAAACCUCUGUCAGCAGGGAAGAAAUUUUAGUGUGCUAAUCAGCAUUAAAUUGACGGUACCUGCAAAGGAAGCACCGGCUAACUCCGUGCCAGCAGCCGCGGUAAUACGGAGGGUGCGAGCGUUAAUCGGAAUUACUGGGCGUAAAGCGCUCGUAGGUAGUAUAUCAAGUCAAGGGUGAAAUCCCCGCGCUCAACGUGGGAACUGCCUUUGAGACUGGUAGACUUGAGUGUGUGAGAGGAUAGUGGAAUUCCAGGUGUAGGAGUGAAAUCCGUAGAUAUCUGGAGGAACAUCAGUGGCGAAGGCGACUAUCUGGCACACAACUGACACUGAGGAGCGAAGCGUGGGUAGCAAACAGGAUUAGAUACC
rnacentral:rRNA from 1 species